rnacentral:rRNA from 1 species
AUUGAACGCUGGCGGCAUGCCUUACACAUGCAAGUCGAACGGCAGCGGACCUUCGGGUGCCGGCGAGUGGCGAACGGGUGAGUAAUAUAUCGGAACGUACCUUUCAGUGGGGGAUAGCGUAGCGAAAGUUACGCUAAUACCGCAUAUUCUGUGAGCAGGAAAGCAGGGGAUCGCAAGACCUUGCGCUGAUUGAGCGGCCGAUAUCAGAUUAGCUAGUUGGUGAGGUAAAGGCUCACCAAGGCGACGAUCUGUAGCGGGUCUGAGAGGAUGAUCCGCCACACUGGAACUGAGACACGGUCCAGACUCCUACGGGAGGCAGCAGUGGGGAAUUUUGGACAAUGGGCGCAAGCCUGAUCCAGCCAUGCCGCGUGAGUGAAGAAGGCCUCGG